AUGGAAACAAUUUUAUUGGUAACAGAACCCUACUAACUCAUCAGAGCCCCACUAUUUUCUCCCGUGUACUUUCCUUCUCCUGGCAGCCUGUCCCCCUUCCCUGGGACCCCCUCCCAACUCAUUCCCGUGAACUUUCUGACUUGCUGCCUCUCUCCCUUCUGGGAAAAAGUGUCAGCUGCUGCACUAAUAAUCCAGCACAUGCUACGACUGUCCCUGAGACAGCUGUCUACUGCCCCUAGGCACUUGGGCAGGGGAUCUCCUUGGAGCCAGAAAGUUAAUAACUGGUCUUGAAGAUACAAACAAUGUCAUGGUCUAUGACUUUGUGACACGAUGCAAAGGAAAGCGUUUGGGCUUUGAGUCAGGCAGACCCAGAUUCAUACCUCAGCUCUUCUUAAUAUGUGUGUGACUUUGGGCAAAGUACUGCAUGUUUCUAGCCCUCAGCUUCCUCAUCUGUGAAAUGGAAAUCACAAUACAGAGAAUAUUGGGAAUAACAAAUGAGAAUAAAUAUAUUUAGCCCUCUGUAGAUGCUCAGUGACCGGGCUUCCUCUCCCACUAUCUCUUUGUCUUUCCAGAGUUGAAAGACCCAUAACAAGGAAUCAAAGGAGAGUGAAACGAUGACUAAAGGUUUAGAGGAUAAGAUCUAAGAAUGGAUGAAGGAGGCCGGGCGCAGUGGCUCACGCCUGUAAUCCCAGCACUUAGGCCUCACAAAGUGCUGGGAUUACAGGCAUGAGCCAACGCGUCCGGCAGAAUGGUAAAUGUUUAAUAUGGAAAAGGGAACAUUUAGUCUGGACAGAGAGGACAAUAAAUAAUUAUGGCUACCAUUUGUCACCACCUUUCCUGGCAUUUACUUAUUUAUUUAUUUAUUGAGAUGGAGUUUCGCUCUUGUUGCCCAGGCUGGAGUGCAAUGGCACAAUCUCGGCUCACCGCAACCUCCGCCUCCUGGGUUCAAGCGAUUCUCCCGCCUCAGGCUCCC
rnacentral:lncRNA from 1 species